AAUUUGGACAUAUGCAUAUCCAACUUUUAACUUUAUCAUUUUAACUAAAGCAAUAAUUGAUUUUUAUAUCAAUAACAUUGUCAGUUACCUCUAGUUGGUGGAUGGUCAUUUCUCAUCCUCUUCUUGCGUUAUUUUUUUGCCCUCCUCUCAUUUUAAUAACUCCUUUUGGGGCUCGUCUAAGCUUUAAUUGCUUGUCUCUAUUUCGGUGUAGGAUUUCUCAAUGCAGAUGUCCUCCGCUUUAUGUGAGAGUUUUUGCUGCAGCUACAAAUGAUGGAUGGGUGGCAGCACUAAAAACCCCAAAUGCUUCUUUGUAUAUUGUUUUUCUCCAAAAUCAAAAUGUUUGUUGCUUCAAUCUCUAUUUGGUGGGUGAUCCGAGUUGGGUGUUGCUAGUGGCUAUUUUUUAUCCUUUUGAGGUGGUUGUGUGGUGUCUCUUGACUGGCAAUUGAGGAUGUUUGGCUAGUCUUGUGCUCCAUUGUUUUCUCACUGUCUUGUAAGCAAGGUCUUUAGUGGAAAUAAAGGCUCGAUAAACGAGAUUAGACGCAUUAAUUUUUUCAUUAGUGGUUGACACCAAAAUAACUAGUGAUGAUUCCUUCUUUUUUUCCUUUUUUUUAUGUGGUUUGACGGUUUAUGCUUGAGAUCAUGGUGUAAUUGGCUUUGGCUAUAUGUCAUUGUUGCUAUGUCUGUGAUGAUUGUUGUUAUAUGAAAUGAAACUUCUUUUUAUCAAACAAGUAUAUAUAUGAAAUUUUAAUUUUGAUUUAAUUAUAAACAUUCAAAGAAAUAAA
rnacentral:lncRNA from 1 species